AUUGAACGCUGGCGGCAUGCUUUACACAUGCAAGUCGAACGGCAGCACGGGUGCUUGCACCUGGUGGCGAGUGGCGAACGGGUGAGUAAUGCAUCGGAACGUGCCCAUGAGUGGGGGAUAGCCCGGCGAAAGCCGGAUUAAUACCGCAUACGCCCUUAGGGGGAAAGCGGGGGAUCUUCGGACCUCGCGCUAUUGGAGCGGCCGAUGUCGGAUUAGCUAGUAGGUGAGGUAAAGGCUCACCUAGGCGACGAUCCGUAGCUGGUCUGAGAGGAUGAUCAGCCACACUGGGACUGAGACACGGCCCAGACUCCUACGGGAGGCAGCAGUAAGGAAUAUUGGACAAUGGAGGAAACUCUGAUCCAGCCAUGCCGCGUGUGUGAAGAAGGCCUU
rnacentral:rRNA from 1 species